AUUGAACGCUGGCGGCAUGCCUUACACAUGCAAGUCGAACGGCAGCGGACCUUCGGGUGCCGGCGAGUGGCGAACGGGUGAGUAAUAUAUCGGAACGUACCUUUCAGUGGGGGAUAACGUAGCGAAAGUUACGCUAAUACCGCAUAUUCUGUGAGCAGGAAAGCAGGGGAUCGCAAGACCUUGCGCUGAUUGAGCGGCCGAUAUCAGAUUAGCUAGUUGGUGAGGUAAAGGCUCACCAAGGCGACGAUCUGUAGCGGGUCUGAGAGGAUGAUCCGCCACACUGGAACUGAGACACGGUCCAGACUCCUACGGGAGGCAGCAGUGGGGAAUUUUGGACAAUGGGCGAAAGCCUGAUCCAGCCAUGCCGCGUGAGUGAAGAAGGCCUUCGGGUUGUAAAGUACGUCUUUCUAGUACGGAAAGGAAAUACGCAUCUUCUAAUACAGGUGUGGAGUGACGGUACCGUAACGAAGAAGA
rnacentral:rRNA from 1 species